GACGAACGCUGGCGGCGUGCUUAACACAUGCAAGUCGAACGGAAAGGCCCUGCUUUUGUGGGGUGCUCGAGUGGCGAACGGGUGAGUAACACGUGAGUAACCUGCCCUUGACUUUGGGAUAACUUCAGGAAACUGGGGCUAAUACCGGAUAGGAGCUCCUGCUGCAUGGUGGGGGUUGGAAAGUUUCGGCGGUUGGGGAUGGACUCGCGGCUUAUCAGCUUGUUGGUGGGGUAGUGGCUUACCAAGGCUUUGACGGGUAGCCGGCCUGAGAGGGUGACCGGCCACAUUGGGACUGAGCUACGGCCCAGACUCCUACGGGAGGCAGCAGUGGGGAAUAUUGCACAAUGGGCGGGAGCCUGAUGCAGCAACGCCGCGUGCGGGAUGACGGCCUUCGGGUUGUAAACCGCUUUCGCCUGUGACGAAGCGUGAGUGACGGUAAUGGGUAAAGAAGCACCGGCUAACUACGUG
rnacentral:rRNA from 1 species